GAUGAACGCUGGCGGCGUGCCUAAUACAUGCAAGUAGAACGCUGAAGGAAGGAGCUUGCUCUUUCCGGAUGAGUUGCGAACGGGUGAAUAACGCGUAGGUAACCUGCCUGGUAGCGGGGGAUAACUAUUGGAAACGAUAGCUAAUACCGCAUAACAGUAGAUGUUGCAUGAUAUCUACUUAAAAGGUGCAAUUGCACCACUACCAGAUGGACCUGCGUUGUAUUAGCUAGUUGGUGAGGUAACGGCUCACCAAGGCGACGAUACAUAGCCGACCUGAGAGGGUGAUCGGCCACACUGGGACUGAGACACGGCCCAGACUCCUACGGGAGGCAGCAGUAGGGAAUCUUCGGCAAUGGACGGAAGUCUGACCGAGCAACGCCGCGUGAGUGAAGAAGGUUUUCGAAUCGUAAAGCUCUGUUGUAAGAGAAGAACGAGUGUGAGAGUGGAAAGUUCACACUGUGACGGUAUCUUACCAGAAAGGGACGGCUAACUACGUG
rnacentral:rRNA from 1 species